UACGGAGGGGGCUAGCGUUGUUCGGAAUUACUGGGCGUAAAGCGCACGUAGGCGGCUUUGUAAGUUAGAGGUGAAAGCCCAGGGCUCAACCCUGGAAUUGCCUUUAAGACUGCAUCGCUUGAACAUCGGAGAGGUAAGUGGAAUUCCGAGUGUAGAGGUGAAAUUCGUAGAUAUUCGGAAGAACACCCGUGGCUAAGGCGGCUCUCUAGUACGGUACUGACGCUGAGACGCGAAAGCGUGGGGAGCGAACAGG
rnacentral:rRNA from 1 species